AGAGUUUGAUCAUGGCUCAGGAUGAACGCUGGCGGCGUGCUUAACACAUGCAAGUCGAACGAUGAAGCCCAGCUUGCUGGGUGGAUUAGUGGCGAACGGGUGAGUAACACGUGAGUAACCUGCCCUUAACUCUGGGAUAAGCCUGGGAAACUGGGUCUAAUACCGGAUAGGAGCGUCCACCGCAUGGUGGGUGUUGGAAAGAUUUAUCGGUUUUGGAUGGACUCGCGGCCUAUCAGCUUGUUGGUGAGGUAAUGGCUCACCAAGGCGACGACGGGUAGCCGGCCUGAGAGGGUGACCGGCCACACUGGGACUGAGACACGGCCCAGACUCCUACGGGAGGCAGCAGUGGGGAAUAUUGCACAAUGGGCGCAAGCCUGAUGCAGCGACGCCGCGUGAGGGAUGACGGCCUUCGGGUUGUAAACCUCUUUCAGUAGGGAAGAAGCGAAAGUGACGGUACCUGCAGAAGAAGCACCGGCUAACUACGUGCCAGCAGCCGCGGUAAUAC
rnacentral:rRNA from 1 species